rnacentral:misc_RNA from 1 species
UGCCGGUCUCUAACGCGGCUUCGAGGUCGGCGCGGUCCUUCGGCGUCAUGGCGGACACCGGCAGAUCGGUGUCGGGCAGGCUGACGCCCUUGCGGUCGGACAUUUUUCCGCCGGUCACCACGCGCACGAGGGCGUGGUCGGGCGAGGUCUCCUCGGCGAUCAGGCGAAGCUUGCCGUCGUCGAUCAGCAGCGCGUGGCCGGGCCGCAAUGCUUUCAGAAUUUCAGGAU